UACGUAGGGGGCUAGCGUUGUCCGGAAUCAUUGGGCGUAAAGAGCGUGUAGGCGGUCCGGUAAGUCCGUUGUGAAAGUCAAGGGCUCAACCCUUGAAUGCCGGCGGAUACUGUCGGGCUAGAGUCCGGAAGAGGCGAGUGGAAUUCCCGGUGUAGCGGUGAAAUGCGCAGAUAUCGGGAGGAACACCGAUGGCGAAGGCAGCUCGCUGGGACGGUACUGACGCUGAGGCGCGAAAGCGUGGGGAGCGAACAGG
rnacentral:rRNA from 1 species